CUUUCAAGUGAGUGGCGAACGGGUGAGUAACACGUGGAUAACCUACCUCAAGGUUGGGGAUAACAUUUGGAAACAGAUGCUAAUACCGAAUAAAACUUCGUAUCGCAUGAUACAAGGUUAAAAGGCGCUACGGCGUCACCUAGAGAUGGAUCCGCGGUGCAUUAGUUAGUUGGUGGGGUAAAGGCCUACCAAGACAAUGAUGCAUAGCCGAGUUGAGAGACUGAUCGGCCACAUUGGGACUGAGACACGGCCCAAACUCCUACGGGAGGCUGCAGUAGGGAAUCUUCCACAAUGGGCGAAAGCCUGAUGGAGCAACGCCGCGUGUGUGAUGAAGGCUUUCGGGUCGUAAAGCACUGUUGUAUGGGAAGAACAGCUAGAGUAGGGAAUGACUUUAGUUUGACGGUACCAUACCAGAAAGGGACGGCUAAAUACGUGCCAGCAGCCGCGGUAAUACGUAUGUCCCGAGCGUUAUCCGGAUUUAUUGGGCGUAAAGCGAGCGCAGACGGUUGAUUAAGUCUGAUGUGAAAGCCCGGAGCUCAACUCCGGAAAGGCAUUGGAAACUGGUCAACUUGAGUGCAGUAGAGGUAAGUGGAACUCCAUGUGUAGCGGUGGAAUGCGUAGAUAUAUGGAAGAACACCAGCGGCGAAGGCGGCUUACUGGACUGUAACUGACGUUGAGG
rnacentral:rRNA from 1 species